rnacentral:rRNA from 1 species
GGGCCCGCACAAGCAGCGGAGCAUGUGGUUUAAUUCGAAGCAACGCGAAGAACCUUACCUAGACUUGACAUCUCCUGAAUUACUCUGUAAUGGAGGAAGUCGCUUCGGCGACAGGAAGACAGGUGGUGCAUGGUUGUCGUCAGCUCGUGUCGUGAGAUGUUGGGUUAAGUCCCGCAACGAGCGCAACCCUUAUUGUUAGUUGCUACCAUUUAGUUGAGCACUCUAGCGAGACUGCCCGGGUUAACCGGGAGGAAGGUGGGGAUGACGUCAAAUCAUCAUGCCCCUUAUGUCUAGGGCUACACACGUGCUACAAUGGUCGGUACAGAGAGAUGCUAAACCGUGAGGUGGAGCCAAACUUUAAAACCGAUCUCAGUUCGGAUUGUAGGCUGAAACUCGCCUACAUGAAGCUGGAGUUGCUAGUAAUCGCGAAUCAGAAUGUCGCGGUGAAUACGUUCCCGGGCCUU